AAAUUAGAAUUUAAAAAUAUAUAUAUUACUUAAAAUAUAAAAUAGUAUAUAUAUCCAUUUAUUUAAUACUUAUGUUUGAUAGUUUUAUAAGACAAUUAUGAGUGAAUGUAUUAUUUUUAUUUUUAUUUGAUAGGAAUAUUCGUAAAGAUAUCUACCAUUACAUAAUUUUUAUAAUUUUAUAUAAGUAUAAUUUAUAUUACAUUAGGAGUGAGAUUAUCUAAAUAUUUUUUAAGGAUAUAAGAGUUAUCCUAAAGAUUAUUUAUUGAUUAAACUUAAUUUGUAUAUAUAAUGCUAGGAGUUAAAAAAAAAUCAAGCCAUUUAAUAUCAAAGUGCAUUCAUUAUUUAUAAGUAAAGAAUACUAUCUUACCUUACAUUAUUCUUAUUUUAUUUUUGAAACAUCAAGGGAGUUAACCACUUGAGCAAUAGGUUUCUAACAAAUAUAAAAGUAAUUUUAUUGCAUAGGAUUGAACCCAUAACCAUUGCAUUUACUUUGGAUAGCUUAUGUCCUCAUUUAGUAGUUUAAUAUCAGCUCAAAUCAUUACCUUACAUUAUAAGUUAUUUAUAUGCAUCU
rnacentral:lncRNA from 1 species